GCAUAUCAAUAAGCGGAGGAAAAGAAACCAACAGGGAUUGCCUCAGUAACGGCGAGUGAAGCGGCAACAGCUCAAAUUUGAAAUCUGGCCCCCCGGCCCGAGUUGUAAUUUGCAGAGGAUGCUUCUGGCGCGGUGCCUUCCAAGUCCCCUGGAACGGGGCGCCAUAGAGGGUGAGAGCCCCGUCUGGUUGGCCGCCAAGCCUGUGUGAAGCUCCUUCGACGAGUCGAGUAGUUUGGGAAUGCUGCUCUAAACGGGAGGUAGACCCCUUCUAAAGCUAAAUACCGGCCAGAGACCGAUAGCGCACAAGUAGAGUGAUCGAAAGAUGAAAAGCACUUUGAAAAGAGGGUUAAACAGUACGUGAAAUUGUUGAAAGGGAAGCGCUUGUGACCAGACGUGCGCCGGGUGUUCAGCGGGCGUUUUCGCCCGUGCAUUCGCCCCGGCGCAGGCCAGCGUCGGUUCGGGCGGGGGGAUAAAGGUGCCAGGAACGUAUCUCCCCCGGGAGUGUUAUAGCCUGGUGCGUCAUGCCCCCGCCUGGACCGAGGUUCGCGCUCCGCAAGGACGCUGGCGUAAUGGUCCCCAGCGGCCCGUCUUGAAACACGGACCAAGGAGUCGAGGUUUUACGCGAGUGUCUGGGUGUCAAACCCGCACGCGUAAUGAAAGUGAACGUAGGUGGGAGCUUCGGCGCACCACCGACCGAUCCUGAUGUUUUCGGAUGGAUUUGAGUAGGAGCGUAGGGCCUCGGACCCGAAAGAUGGUGAACUAUACUUGGAUAGGGUGAAGCCAGAGGAAACUCUGGUGGAGGCUCGCAGCGGUUCUGACGUGCAAAUCGAUCGUCAAAUCUGAGUAUGGGGGCGAAAGACUAAUCGAACCAUCUAGUAGCU
rnacentral:rRNA from 1 species